AUACAAUUAAAUCUCAUACAGUCACUCUUCUAUCAUGGGAUCUUGAAGCUCAUUGGUAACCAAUGUUUUGAGAACUUCCCAGAAGGACAACAGGACUGUUGCUAGCCUCACCUUGGGGAGAAUGAUGUUCCUUCCAUAGGGUAGGGGCCAUAGCAGAAAAUACUUUCUACCUAGAACCUACCCAACAAAACUCCCUAGUUGAUAGGACCCCACAUACUUCUCCAGCUGGACUUGAUAGGGUGGAUAGGGGAGGGGAUCCUUCAAAUAACCUGUUCCCAACUCACAAAGGGCUUUAAAGGUCAUAAUUUACAUCUUGAAAUGGAAUGGGAAGCAAACUGGUAGCCAAUGCAGUUUGCAAAGUGGAAGUAUAAUCUAUGCAGUUGGGGAACACACAAAAUCCCAUGGGGCUAAUUUUGCAUUACCUGAAGCAUCUCAUCAUCUUCAAGGGCCAUUGUAAAUAGCAGCUCCAUAUUAAAGCUGUUAGAGCGUUCAUCAAGGAGGUGACUGAGAGUAGCAGUCUCCUCUGAAGAGAUUUGGUGAAGAGAUGAGAGCCAGUUUGGUUUAGUGCUUAAGGCACAAGGGCAAAAAGCCCUGUGAGUUCAAGUCCCACCUUAGCCAUGAGAACUGGAUGGGUUAACUUGGAGCAGUCACUCUCUCUCAGCCCAGCUCACCUCACAGGGUUGUUGUUGUAGGGAAAAUAGGAGGAGGAAGUGUUUUGGAUAUGUUCGUUGCCUUGAGUUAUUGUAAAAAUAAUAAAUGUGGGGGAUAUAUAUUCGUCAAUGUGGCAUCUUCUGGAUACUCGGGAUGUAUUAGAUAUCAUUACAAUCCACUUGGAAAUGUCAUUAGGGGAAAAUAAGCAUAAGGUUUAACUAUCUCUAUGCAUGACAUUCCAUUUUUAACACCUGUUUUGUUUGAGGUAUUUUUUCCUCCCACUUCAAAUUUUAUCAUCCACCAAACACUGUGGAUCAAAAUGGCAUCUGUUUCUUUGUCCUUGCCCAUUUGCCAAUAAAAUAUUCAGAUACACAGCUAAGAAAAUAGAGAACGACAGCUCCCCAUUCCACUGCAUAUGUAGCAAAAUAGGUCUUACCUUUGCUCUUUUAUUUUGUAAUCCUUUGGGUACCAAAUAGUAGGGCAGAUGGGAACAAAUGACACGAGGUGAUGCGCGACUUGGUAUAUCUACAUGAUAAACAUUAUACUCUAGCCAUGGUGCCCUGUUAAUCAGGCUAAUAUUUUCAGUUCCAUCUCCAUGACCUUCAUAAAGAAUCAAGCUCACAAUGUUCUGAGUCCACACUGUGCCUGUA